GGGCCGUUAGCUCAGUUGGUAGAGCAACUGACUCUUAAUCAGUUUGUCGUAGGUUCGAUCCCUACACGGCUCACCA
rnacentral:tRNA from 1 species